UGACAGCAGCAACAACAGUUACAGUGGCACCCACUUUUUUUCCUCCACCAAAUUGAAAAUUAACUUAGCGGAACUCUGAAAUUUGGGCUGCAACGUCUCACUCUAUGUUGUCCCCGAAACCAAAUUGUGGCCACAUUUUCAUAACAACAAUUUUUGAGACGUAGGCGUGUGAAUCUAGAACAGUGGCAACAAAUUGCGCGCAAUUAGAAAACAUGGAGCUGCAGUUAAAGUACAAGACUCUACAAGCUGGGAAAAUGUAAGUGAGCCAAAGCGCACUCUGGAUGGAAACUGGUGAACUGACUAUCUACGCCCCUUCUUCGGCCAACAGCCAACAGGAAACGUGUAACAUAAAAAAAGGCGCGAAGCAAUCGAUUUGUGGGCUGUAGCACAGACAAUGGGGGGGCGGCCAUCUCAACCCUCCCCACAGGGGCAAAAACACACACAUGGAGGGGUGUGCGAGUGAAACUCCCCCCCCAAACGCAUUCAUUAAAAACGCAUUAGAAAUGACAUUAGGACAAAUAUAGCCACGGCGCGCCACUAAAAUUACCUAAACAAUACAUAAAACAUA